CCUACGGGAGGCAGCAGUGGGGAAUAUUGGGCAAUGGAGGAAACUCUGACCCAGCAACGCCGCGUGAAUGAUGAAGGUCUUCGGAUUGUAAAGUUCUUUUCUAAGGGAAGAAGGAAGUGACGGUACCUAAGGAAUAAGCCUCGGCUAACUACGGGCCAGCAGCCGCGGUAAUACGUAGGAGGAAAGCGGUAUCCGGAAUGACUGGGCGUAAAGGGUGCGUAGGUGGUUUGAUAAGUGGGUAGAGGAACUCCGAGGCUCAACCUCGGCACUACUACCAAAACUGUCGGACUUGAGUGCAGGAGGGGCAACUAGAAUUCCUGGUGUAGCGGUGAAAUGCGUAGAGAUUAGGAGGAACACUAGUGGCGAAGGCGGCUUGCUGGGCUUUUACUGACGCUGAGGCUCGAAAGCGUGGGGAGCAAACAGGAUUAGAUACCCCUGUAGUC
rnacentral:rRNA from 1 species